GAAUACUCGGCUAAAUCAAAUGCAACCGCUUGUGUUUGUGUUGUUUAGUUUCAUCGAUCUCUCUAAUUCUUAAGGCUGCUACUAGAUUAAACCUUAGUGCUUGUCUUGGGUUGUUUAGUAGUUAGGGUUAAUUAGAUCGCUUGUUUUUAAUUAACUACAACUAAGAAGAGAUAGAAAAAUAUUUCUAUCGGUGGACAUUCAAAGUGCAAAUUGAUAUCUUUGCAUCAAUAAUCAGUUGUAAAAUUCCGAUGGUGGAUGUUGACUUAGACCAAGAUUUGUUCUUUUGAUUGAUUUCAAUACUUAAAUCUGAAUUCUUCUUUAGUUGUUUUAUUAUUUUCGUUAUACUCAAACCCCCCCUCCGUCCUUGUUCAAGUUGCAUAAAACUAGGCUAGAUACUCUCCGUGGGAACGAUCCUUACUCACACUACUACAUAUAUAUUUUUAGGAGUAUAGGUUUUAUUUUUGGUUGCCUGCGACAGCACACCAGUUUGGCAUAUCGAUACUCGGUACUUCCUCAAUAUCGAC
rnacentral:lncRNA from 1 species